UGACUGAGGCACAGAGAAGCCAAGCGACUGGCCCGGAGUCACACAGCUGACGGGCGGCGGAGCCGGGAUCGGAACGCGAGACACGUGACGACGACGAUGGUGUUACCCGCCGAGCGCUCACUGCGCGUCAAGCACUGUUCUGAGCGCGGGGGUGGAUGCGGACUAAUCAGGUCGGACCCAGUCCCUGUCCCACGUGCGGCUCGCAGCCUUCGCCCCCGUUUGACAGGCAUCCAACCGCCCCCGGGAGGAGGCCUGUAACUCCAUCCCACGGGACCCCGCGGCACCGCUUUCCGGCAGAGUCUCCAGCUCGGUUGUAACUCACGAGAACCGGUCGGUCCGACGGGCUGCCAGCCGAGGCGCGGGGCCCGGGCGGACGCCAGCAGGAGCCUGGCGGGAGUAGGUGCCCUUCACCGAGAGAGGUCGGUCUUUUUUUUUUUUU